UACGAGAGGCCCAAACGUUAUUCGGAUUUACUGGGCUUAAAGAGUUCGUAGGCGGUCCAUCAAGUGGGGUGUGAAAUCCCUCGGCUCAACCGAGGAAUUGCGCUCCAAACUGUUGGGCUCGAGGGAGAUAGAGGUGAGCAGAACUGAUGGUGGAGCGGUGAAAUGCGUUGAUAUCAUCAGGAAUACCAGAGGCGAAGGCGGCUCACUGGGUCUCUUCUGACGCUGAGGAACGAAAGCUAGGGGAGCAAACGGG
rnacentral:rRNA from 1 species